GAUGAACGCUAGCGGCAGGCCUAACACAUGCAAGUCGAGGGGUAGAAGGAGCUUGCUCCUUUGAGACCGGCGCACGGGUGCGUAACGCGUAUGCAAUCUACCUUUUACAGAGGGAUAGCCCAGAGAAAUUUGGAUUAAUACCUCAUAGUAUAUAUCAUUCGCAUGUUUGGUAUAUUAAAGUUCCAACGGUAAAAGAUGAGCAUGCGUCCCAUUAGUUAGUUGGUAAGGUAACGGCUUACCAAGACGAUGAUGGGUAGGGGUCCUGAGAGGGAGAUCCCCCACACUGGUACUGAGACACGGACCAGACUCCUACGGGAGGCAGCAGUGAGGAAUAUUGGUCAAUGGACGCAAGUCUGAACCAGCCAUGCCGCGUGCAGGAAGACGGUCCUAUGGAUUGUAAACUGCUUUUGUACGGGAAGAAACACUCCUACGUGUAGGAGCCUGACGGUACCGUAAGAAUAAGGAUCGGCUAACUCCGUGCCAGCCGCCGCGGUAAGAC
rnacentral:rRNA from 1 species